rnacentral:rRNA from 1 species
UACGGAGGAUCCGAGCGUUAUCCGGAUUUAUUGGGUUUAAAGGGUGCGCAGGCGGAGGAUUAAGUCGGCGGUGAAAUUUUGCAGCUCAACUGUAAAAGUGCCUUCGAAACUGGUUUCCUUGAGUGUAGAUGAAGUAGGCGGAAUUUGUGGUGUAGCGGUAAAAUGCAUAGAUAUCACGAGGAACUCCGAUUGCGCAGGCAGCUUACUAAACUACUACUGACGCUCAGGCACGAAGGCGUGGGGAUCAAACAGGAUUAGAUACCCUGGUAGU